rnacentral:snRNA from 1 species
AUACCUUUCUCGGCCUUUUGGCUAAGAUCAAGUGUAGUAUCUGUUCUUAUCAGUUUAAUACUUGAUAUGUGGGCCAUCGGCCCACCCGAUAUUAAUAUUCAUUUUCCAAUUUUAUUCAUCGAUGAUUUGUGUCGACAAUUGUUAUGUAGAUAUACUUAAUAGAUCGUUGAAUAAUUGUCAAUAGAUGCCAUGACAAAAACUUU